AAAAAAAAAAAAAAUCUUUAGCCAAAAAUGUAAGUUAUCGAUUUCCCCUUUCUCAUUAUCACUCCACGAUUUCCCUUUUUCUCAUUAGAUAUGAAUCCUAAAUCCUAAAUUGUCAAUUCUUCAACAAUCGAGGUUCAUUCGUUUUGUGACUUGAAGACUCCUUGAUUCUGACUUCGUAGCACCGUUUUCUAUCACUAAAACCUCCAGAUUCACAAAAGAGAAAGUGAAUUAGAGAAGCAAAUCCGACGACCCAAGAUUACGUUUCUGAAAUUGAGAAUUGCAUCUAAUAGAGAUGAUUAAAUCAAACUGUGCAAAAACAUAUACAGCAAGGUUGUAUCUGACGGGACCAUUUGGUUUUGAUGAUGGAGCUUCUUUGAAUGAUGCCAUGCAAGAUAGCUUUAGGAGGCCGCUACUCCAGGAAUUUAUUCAAAAGGCAUGGUGAUCUUUGACACAUCAGAAGACCAAGAUGCAAAUGCCUUGAGUGAUUUUCUUGUUACAAAAUUUGUUCCCGGAACGCAGCUCGAUAGAGAGAAAGAAGAGGGAGAACGAGGAGCAAGAAACUGUGUUGUUAAAAUAAGAAACCAGAAGCUCCUCUCUCCGGUUUGAUAGCUGAGUUAUGUUCCGUGAUUGAGCGACUGACAAUAAGAUUUAGAGAGAGUUUUGAGCCAGCAGAACUACCUGGAUCUGUUUUAUAGUGAGCUCUCUAUUACGUCACAUAUGCAGAGUGAUAUAUUGUUUGUGCACUUAUACGAAAUAGAAACUGUUUAUUAUUACAGGCAAGAUUGAAAACACUGACAGAACACAAAGAAAAAGAAAAAAGUUUGCAUAAAGUUAUAAAUCACAGAGCUUUUUUCUUGUUUUGUUU